UGCCGGCCCCGCCGCGGCUGGCCCGUGGGCGCGAGGCGUCUUUGUCAUCUUCCCCAGGGGACCCCAGGCGCCCCCGCCGAGGAUCGGGGGUUCAUUCAAUUCACGCGAAAUCCCGGCAUAGUUUUUCCAGAUGAGUCCUUCCAUUUCUGGCAAGGUGGCUGUGGAUUCUCCAUGUCAUGGACCUCAGCAUUCACAUGGGACCCUCCAUGAUGGAUGGGGUGGUUGUCGCCGACUAUCUCUUAUGCCACAAAAGCCCAUUUUUACACAUGCCCAUGGAAGGAAGGAGGUGAACUCUGGUGGCCUGUUUCCAUGUGAUGACAGCUGGCUGUUGAUGAAAAACAAAUAUUGACCAUCUCUGGCAUUGGUAAUGGAGGUGGUGCUCAAAAUAACUUGUUUGUGCAUGUGUCCUUGCUGCCUAAGGGCCCUCUGCCAUGGGUGUCCUCAUUUCCUUGGAAGCCUUCCGAACAUUGCAUCAGCAAUUCUUUAUCCAAAAAAAAGAAGAAGAAGAAGAAGAAAGAAUUCUUUAUUCAGCUCAGGGAUAGUGUUUCCAAAGCUCCUGAAAAGGGCAGUUUUGAAUAUUUACUAAAAUUGAUCCACAUCAUGCAGUUCAACAAUGAUCAAACUAUGGCCAAUCUUGCUUUAUCCACCUAUCUCCCCAUCCUGAAUUCCUAGGAAGAAGGUUCCAGGUGCCACACAAUUUUGACUAUACAUUUUUUAUGUGCAUUUCUGAAAUUUAAGACCCUUUGGGAAAAAUCACAAAAUUAGUA